rnacentral:rRNA from 1 species
GACGAACCGUGCGACCGUUGUUCGGAUUCACUGGGCUUAAAGGGCGCGUAGGCGGGUGCUCAAGUCCGGGGUGAAAUCCUCCAGCUCAACUGGAGAAUAGCCUUGGAUACUGGGCACCUCGAGUGAGGUAGGGGCGGGCGGAACUUCCGGUGGAGCGGUGAAAUGCGUAGAUAUCGGAAGGAACGCCGGUGGCGAAAGCGGCGUGCUGGACCUUUUCUGACGCUGAUGCGCGAAAGCCAGGGGAGCGAACGGG